rnacentral:rRNA from 1 species
AUUGAACGCUGGCGGAAUGCUUUACACAUGCAAGUCGAACGGUAGAGGGGGCAACCCCUCGAGAGUGGCGAACGGGAGAGUAAUAUAUCGGAACGUGCCCAGUCGUGGGGGAUAACGUAGCGAAAGUUACACUAAUACCGCAUACGAUCUAAGGAUGAAAGCGGGGGAUCGCAAGACCUCGCGCGAUUGGAGCGGCCGAUAUCAGAUUAGGUAGCUGGUGGGGGAAAGGCUCACCAAGCCAACGAACUGUAGAUGGUCUGAGAGGACGCACAGCCACACUGGAAGUGAGACACGGUCCAGACUCCAACGGGAGGCAGCAGUGGGGAAUUUUGGACAAUGGACGCAAGUCUGAUCCAGCCAUUCCGCGUGCAGGAUGAAGGCCUUCGGGUUGUAAACUGCUUUUGUACGGAACGAAAAGGUCUCUCUUAAUACGGGGGGCUCAUGACGGUACCGUAAGAAUAAGCACCGGCUAACUACGUGCCAGCAGCCGCCGUAA